UUACGGCCAUAUCACGUUGAAACAUUGGUUCCUGUACGAUUACCGAAGUUAAGCAACAUCGAGCCUGAUCAGUACCUAAAUAGGUGACUGCUUGGGAAUACGAGGGGCUGUAAG